AUACUCUGAUUUCUCUUCAAAUCGCAUAAAUCUUUCACCUUUCACUAAAGAUUUCCGUGGAGAGGAUUUUAUAUCAAUUGUAUUUUAUUGGUUCUGGUGGAUUUUCCAGGC